UAAAGCACCACCAGCGAGGUGUGUUAAUAAUCCUCUGCUACCAAUUGUCAAAAACACCAAUCACUUGUUUUAUAAAUUUUUAAAUAUUUAAUAGUAAUAAAAUAGUUAUAAAAAUAGUAAUACAAUUAGAGUAAUAAUAAUUUAGACGAUUUGAAUUCAGACAAUACGUGACAAUAAAAACAAAGAGUUACGGACAUCCGGGUACCUUUUUCCGGGCAGCACAAGCCCUAAAAGAGACACCCGUUAACUAAGGAUUAACCCUUAAAAACAACAGCCUGUUGCAUAUUCAUACACUUCAUGCAUGAUGCAUAAAUUCCAUUCAAACACAGGAUUCGGCCUGGUCAUCGUCAACUUCUUCCUCCUAAUCCUAACACAGCGCCUUCGAGGCAGGAAGAAGUUUGUUUCUUCUGAUAAGGGAGCAAUAAAUUCUUUUUCUCUGAAAGAUUUAGGUGUCCUGUGGCUGCUAUCUCGCUGCAAAUCCUUUCUUUAAAAAAAGUAUCCUACAUAGCAUAGUUUCUAUUUUAACAAUUGUUAUAACCUAAAACUAUAUUUAACACACUACUGAAGAGAAUUAAUACAGCAUUACUUUCUAACACAACACAUAUAAUAUUCAUUUCAAUAUUUGUGAAAAGCCAAUCAUAAAAUACGCAUUUUUCACACUUUUUAUUAUACAUAAGCAUUUAGUCAUUUUGUUGCAAUAUCUCUUAGCUUUACCACAACUUCCUCUAUUUUAUUCUAAGCAUCAGUUGUCUUGCUACCUCAUUUCUUUUACUCUGUUAUACUUUUUCUAUUUCAAUGCUUUAUUUGGCUAUUUGGUCAGAAAAUUUCAAAACUGUUCUUUGUAGUUAUCCCAGAGAAUGCAUCUACUUUUGACACAGCAGAUAUAAGUAUUUGCUGAUUCCAUUGCCAGUUGACAUGAAUCACAAAAACACUUUUCACAGUGAGCAGUCCUUUCUCACAAUUUGAAUCCUCGUAAACCAGGAUAAGAACCUUCUCUCCAUGCCCGUAGGAGAUUUCAAAAGAGAGGUGCACCCUGCCAAUUUCGGCAGCUCAUUCGAGUUCUCCUGUGACCACCGGUGAGUGCAGUUUUCCUCCCUGGGGACAGCAGAGGACUAAAUAACGAAAAAGAAAAGGGGGAAGAAAAAACAGACAAAAAACGUGAAUAUUUGGAUGCGUGUGAGAGUCCGAGAGUGUGCUUGGAGUGUGUGUAAGAGUUGCGGGACUUGGGGUACUCAAGAACAUCUCGGGGUGCCAGGUCGAGAGCCACUGGAUUUGGGGCGGGGGGGUGGUUCACUGCGCUGGUAUGGACGGCAGCGUCUCGGAGGCGGCCUCAGGAGGCCACGUGGGUGCUAGCUGCGGUAGCGCCGAGGUCCCUACGCGGCUCAAACUCGGCAGAGCGGGGCCAAGGGAGCCCACGUGGGGGAAGUUUUUCGGCGUCUCGGCGCAGCUCGGUUUCGUCGGGGGCGGGCCGGGCCGGUCGCGGACCGGCUUCCCUAGGACACCCGCCGGCGCAAGGCUGUGGGACCAAAACAAAGAGCCGAGGAGGAGAGGAACGGCAGGGACCAAUCCGGUUAUACGGAGGUCCCUGGAUCGCAGGCGAGUUUUUACUUUUCGGAAGAGAGGAUGAGGACGCCUGCUACAGAUAUGCCAACUAUCAGCACUUACCGUCUGAAGACAGCGUGGACCAAGGCCCAAAAACUGGAGGUGAUAAAAAAGGACUAAAACCACAACCAAGGAAUAUACAUGCUCUAAAAAGGUGGACCCAAGAAGAUAUGCUUAACAGUUCUUGGAACAUGCAAACUAGCUUGGGGGAAAAGUUUACUACUCAAAAGGGUCUAUGAAUAUGCAACAGGCUGACGUAAGAGAAAAGGUAUUUAAGGGGUAUCCCCGAAGAUAAGUGUGCUCUUGGCUGAAUGCCAAGCACCCCCCCCCCCCC